rnacentral:tRNA from 1 species
GCGAUGGUGGUGUAGUUGGUUAUCACGUUUGUCUAACACACAAAAGGUCCUGGGUUCAAGUCCCGGCCGUCGUA